rnacentral:rRNA from 1 species
UACGGGGGGGGGCAAGCGUUGUUCGGAAUUACUGGGCGUAAAGGCGCGUAGGCGGCCCGCUAAGUCGAACGUGAAAUCCCCCGGGCUCAACCCGGGAACUGCGUCCGAUACUGGGAGGCUUGAAUCCGGGAGAGGGAUGUGGAAUCCAGGUGUAGCGGUGAAAUGCGUAGAUAUCUGGAGGAACACCGGUGGCGAAGGCGGUUGGCUGGGCCGUGGCUGACACUGAGGCGCGACAGCGUGGGGAGCGAACAGG